GUGUUUGCUAUGGCAGCACAUACACUAAAAUUGAAAUGAUACAGAGAUUAGCAUGGCCCCUAUACAAGGAUGACAUGCGAAUUCAUGGAGCAUUCCAUAUUAUC